ensembl:snoRNA small nucleolar RNA SNORA2/SNORA34 family
GUGGCCCUGAAUGAAGGCUGGCACCUUCCUGAUGGUGUUGGUUGCAAGCCGGAGCCUAAAGAAAUGUCUUUCUAUGGUCUGUUGGCCAUUUCAGAACUUUGGCAGUGAAAUGAAUCAAUUCAUUAGAAGCUUGAAGCAAUC